rnacentral:lncRNA from 1 species
AAAUCAGUUAAGUACAUUGAUGUCAAGUAACUGGCUCCCUGAGUGUUUUCUUUCCCAUUUGUUGAGGAUUUGCAUAUUUACAGUGUACACAGAUGCAAAUGGAAGACUUUGCAGAAAAGUGGGUCCUGAAUCCAACUAUAAUAGGAAAUAAAACAAUGAAAAAAAAUUAGUCUUUGAUUGCAAGUCUUCCUGCCUCUAAGCUCAGAGAAAACAAACAAAUAAAACACAAAAACCCAGUACAGGUAAAGCCAGCCCAAAAAAGUUUCUCAAAUUCAGAAGGCAAAUAAGUGAGGAUGUGGUCUUUUGCCUUUCAAAAUGAUUCUCAGCCAGAUGGUGAAUUUUCUGAAGUAAGAAAAAGACCUCAUUUUAUCUUUGUAUCUAUUCCUGGCAGGCGGAAGCACAGAGUCAAGUUCAGGUGAAUGCUGUGGUUUGAAUCUAAAAUGUCCCCCCUAAGGCUCACACGUUGGAGGGUUGGUCCCCAGUACAGCAAUGUUAAAGGUGUUUUGUGACAGCAGUGCAAAGCUAACUAACACAGUGAAUGACUAAGUGGAUGAAUGCUCACAUGUUCCAACCAAAUGGAUUCGCAAGUAAUUAACACAUGGAAGGUAUGCGAGGCAGUGGCUCAGGGUGUGUGGCGUGUCCUGGGCUGCCUUUUGCAAUCAAGGCCUGACCUGCUCUUCACUUUGCCCAAGGUCAGCUCACUUCUCCAGACCUCCAUUUCUCGGGUGUCAAUGAGGAUAAAAAAACACUCACCCUUCAGUGAACUGAAGAGCCACAGAAAACCUGCCUCCUGCCUCCCAUGGCGGGAGGAUAGCGCUCAGCCCACGGAUGUCUCACUGCUGCCAGUUAAGUUUCAAGCAGUGGCUUAUCAACUGAGGCUGCCACUGGAGAGAGGGCUGAGGAAGCUGGAAGAAACCCUGCACUGCUUCCCCAGCACUGUCAGCAGCAAGGAGCAGAGGCUCCCCCAGGAGCAACCCCCGAUGUGGAACUGGCCAUUCAAGCAGCAUACGGAGACACUGUGACUAGGAGGUAAAGCGCGAGGGCCACAGCUGGCCGUCUGCCGGGUGCUUUGUUGCUCCUGAACGAGCAAAGAAAAAUUGCAUUCUCUGUGCUGGUGGAACUUCUUGAGCUUCUCAUUGGCUGCCUCUCUGGGGUCUCCUUGUCACCUUGCCUUGAUCAGGAGGACUCUCCCUAGGGCGAAAUAAACGUCAGUGCUAACCAUUUCUGAAGGAAGAGCAACUGGCUGGAAACACCGAAUGGUUCUCAGAGUGUGAUUUGGCCAUCAUUAUGCUAUUUUUGCUAUCACAUUCCUGAUUUUGGCUGGGCCUCCUAGUCCUCAGAGAUAUAGACAAGGUCAGCACCGGCUCUCAAAUACAUGGAAAAGAAAAGACUGCCCUGAGGGUUCCCUACUUCUCCAGUGACAGAGAGGGAACUAGUAGUUCAGAGGCAGGGACCCAUUUCCUGGGCUCUUGGAGGCUCAGAGUCCUAGCUUGUGAGGCAUUUUUCCCUCUGUGGAUCUAGAGUGAAAAAAAUAAGCCAGUGUGGUGACACGUGCUUGUCAUCUCAGCUACUUGGGAGGCUGAAGCAGGAUGACUGCAAAUUCAGGGUCAGCCUGGGGAACUUAGUGAGACCCUGUAUCAUAAUAAACGUAAAAAGGGCUGGGGAUGUAGCUUAGUGAUAGUGUCCCUGGGUCCCUUUCCCACUACCACAGAAACAGAUGGAAAAAACUGAACUUCUUUGUGGGUUAUAAACUGACCUGCACAAUGUUUGCUUUUGAACUAGAGAUGAGAAUAGGGGUGGGGUUGCAUUGGUAUAAUGAGAAGACAAACACAAGCUCAAGUGGAAUCGGAGGAAGCAGUGUUCUUAACAAACUUUUGGUCAUCAAUAUGAAAUUAAUGAUGUAUUUUACUCUUUGUUAUAUUAAAGCUUUGGAGUCUAGAAGAAGGUCUAUUUUAAUUGCAGGAUGUCUCGGUUUGAACCGAACACAGUGCAGAUGGUCACUGCCAGCACGUGGCCCAUGCAGAGUGACCGGGACCUCAGAGGCCCCGCCCAUAUUGUCCUAUUCUCCUUUUCUUCAAUGCUACAACGUUACAGUUUCCUGGAUGAUCACAGCAAAUAGAUGCUACAAAAUUGUACUUCCCAUGAAAAAUCCCUUUUCUAAAAGUUAAAUAUUUUACGGAACCUCGUUAUGCAAGAUAGAUCCAAAUGCCAUCUUAUUAGAAUAAGUCAUUAAAUGUCCAUGUAUAUGUAAUAUUGUAUUUAAUAAAUACAGUAAGAAAAAUUCAAUAAGCCCUGUGCAAUUGUAAGAUCACCAACCCCAUGUAUGCCUCACCCACCCUCAACAUUUAUUAUUCCUCCUUGUAUAACGCUGCUUUCUCAUACUCCUGCCCACCCUCUAAUGAAUAUUUUAAAGCUUAUAUGUAUCUCUACAUGGAAAGAUGCUUGUCUUGAAAGAUAACCACAAUAGUAUAAGCAUACUUUAGAAAACUAAUGUUAUUACUUUUACCUCAUACCCAAUGUUCAAAUUUCUCCUGUUAGCACAAUUUAAAAAAAAAAUUAUAGUGUUCGAAUUAGAAUCCAAAUAAGGUCCCUAUGCUGCAAUUAGUUUCUAUUUUUAAAUCUGUAAUUCCCCUCACCCCAUAUCAUUUACUUGUUUUUUUGUUCUAUAGAUUUUUCCAGACUAAAUGUUGAUGCUUGACUCUCCAAUGAGUUAAUGUGUUCACCUUUCUUCUGAGAACUGAUAGGUGGAGAGAUAUGAUGGGAACCAGGCUGGGGUACUUUGGCAAGAACAUUUCAUAGGUAGAGAUGUUACUUCUACUACGGACACUAUUAUCUGGGGGUAAUAGAAACAGAGAAUGUGUGUGUGAGAGAGAAUGUGUGUGAUGAAAGACACAGAAUGUGUGAGUGUGUGUGUGUGAGAGAGAGAGACAGAUAUAGAGAGAUUUUUGACUAUUGUCUAGGUCCCUCAUUCAG